AAUGUGGGACUUAGUGCUACAGUUUAGUUGACACGGUGGUGAUCAGUCCAAGUUUGGACUUGAUGAUCUUGGAGGUCUUUUCCAACCUAAAUGAUUCUAUGACUCUAUGAUGAUUGUGGAAAGCAAGUUAAUUAGAAUGAGAGUGCCCUUUGAUUUCAUGAGUGCAAACAGGUAUCCACAAUGAAACAUAUGGAAGUAAAAGCUCAGCCACAACCUGGAGAACUGUGAGCAAGAAGAGAUCCUGCAGUUUAACGCACUCUAAAUUAAAGUGCAACAGUUUUACUUUCUCAUCAUAGAGUGGAAUAAUGCUUAGCAGCUGCAAAUCUGUAAAUACAGACCUGCAGAGGUAGCUGAAAAUCCUAUCUGCUUUCAUACUGAUACCUUUUCUGCAAGUCUGUGAGUUCCUUGGGCCUGUGACACAUUUAUGUCUGCAAUGCAAUCUGCAAAAGUAUUACAUACUUGUGACAUUUUAAGAAUACAUAGGAGACAUCAUGUUUGCAAUGAGCAGAACCCUUGGGAACAGAGAAGCUUUCCAACAAAAUUUCGGAAGAAAAUGCAAGGCCAGCAAGGAACUGGCUAUGGCUUCCCAGAUUUCUGGACUUUUAUUUUCUAAUUUUCACCAGUUGGAUACAGUUGCUGAGCAACUCCUUCCUGUGUACUCUGGCUGCUUCUCAUGUGUGAUAACUUUCUUUAGGUUACCUAUAUAUCCUCUGUGCUAUGUGGUCUGGGAGGGUCAUCUGCCUUCUAUUUUGUGUUGAGAUGACUGGCUAAGGCCAUAAGAGUAGAACAGCGGAUGUUGUAUACCUUGAAUUUAGCAAGGCCUUUAGCAUUGUACCUAGUGUUUUUACAGCCAAACUGGUGAACCAUGGACUGGAUAAAUAGACAGUAAGAUGGGUGGAAAAUUAUCUGAACCAUUGAGCUUUAAGGGUAGUGAUCACUGGUACAAAGCUGGUUAUGAGUGACUUGACCCAGAAAUUGAUGCCAACCAUGCUUGUUCUCAGUAACAACUUGGAUGACUGGAUCAAGUGUAUCCCUUGCCAGUUUGGAGAUAUAUGUAUUGGGAAGGGUGUUCAGUACACUGAAGUGCAGGGUUGCUGUUUGGGGAACUUAGUCAGGCUCCAGAAAUGGGCUGUCAGGAACCACAUGAAAAUCGCCAAAGGCAAAUACAAAGUUCUGCAUAUGGAAUAUGCCCAUGCAACAGGACAGGGCAGCACUGGCUGGCUAGGAAGCAGCUUUGUAGGAAAGGACCCAAGGCCCUUGUGGGCAGUCAGUUGCACAGUCACCAGUGUGCCUUUCUGGCAAAGAGGGGCAGCUGCACCAUGGGCUGCACUGGGAGGAGGGUAGACAGCAGCUGGAGGGAAAUGGUGUUUUUUUCCUUCUAUCUGGCACUUUUGGCAUGACCUCAAAAGUGGUGUGUCCAGUUGUGGGCUCCCCAACACAGAAAAGACAUAGACAUAGUGGAGCGAGUGCAUCGGAGGGACAUUUUGAUGUUAUGGGGGCUCUAACACGUGAUGUGCAAGGAGAGACUGAGAGACAUGUUCCGUCCUUCUCCCAGGCAACCAGCAAUAUGACAAGAGGGCACAGUCUUAAGCUGUG